AACGAACGCUGGCGGCAUGCCUAACACAUGCAAGUCGAACGAAGGCUUCGGCCUUAGUGGCGCACGGGUGCGUAACGCGUGGGAAUCUGCCCUUGGGUACGGAAUAACUCCUCGAAAGGGGUGCUAAUACCGUAUGAUGUCGCGAGACCAAAGAUUUAUCGCCCAGGGAUGAGCCCCGCGUAGGAUUAGCUAGUUGGUGAGGUAAAGGCUCACCAAGGCGACGAUCCUUAGCUGGUCUGAGAGGAUGAUCAGCCACACUGGGACUGAGACACGGCCCAGACUCCUACGGGAGGCAGCAGUGGGGAAUAUUGGACAAUGGGCGAAAGCCUGAUCCAGCAAUGCCGCGUGAGUGAUGAAGGCCUUAGGGUUGUAAAGCUCUUUUACCCGGGUAAGAUAAUGACUGUACCGGGAGAAUAAGCCCCGGCCUAACUCCGUGCCAGCAGCCGCG
rnacentral:rRNA from 1 species